AGUGAACGCUGGCGGUAGGCCUAACACAUGCAAGUCGAACGGCAGCACAGUAAGAGCUUGCUCUUACGGGUGGCGAGUGGCGGACGGGUGAGGAAUACAUCGGAAUCUACUUUUUCGUGGGGGAUAACGUAGGGAAACUUACGCUAAUACCGCAUACGACCUACGGGUGAAAGCAGGGGAUCUUCGGACCUUGCGCGAUUGAAUGAGCCGAUGUCGGAUUAGCUAGUUGGCGGGGUAAAGGCCCACCAAGGCGACGAUCCGUAGCUGGUCUGAGAGGAUGAUCCGCCACACUGGAACUGAGACACGGUCCAGACUCCUACGGGAGGCAGCAGUGGGGAAUAUUGGACAAUGGGGGCAAGCCUGAUCCAGCCAUACCGCGUGGGUGAAGAAGGCCUUCGGGUUGUAAAGCCCUUUUGUUGGGAAAGAAAAGCAGCAGGUUAAUACCCCGCUGUUCUGACGGUACCCAAAGAAUAAGCACCGGCUAACUUCGUG
rnacentral:rRNA from 1 species